ACGUCCUACGGGAGAAAGUGGGGGAUCUUCGGACCUCACGCUAUCAGAUGAGCCUAGGUCGGAUUAGCUAGUUGGUGAGGUAAAGGCUCACCAAGGCGACGAUCCGUAACUGGUCUGAGAGGAUGAUCAGUCACACUGGAACUGAGACACGGUCCAGACUCCUACGGGAGGCAGCAGUGGGGAAUAUUGGACAAUGGGCGAAAGCCUGAUCCAGCCAUGCCGCGUGUGUGAAGAAGGUCUUCGGAUUGUAAAGCACUUUAAGUUGGGAGGAAGGGCAUUAAGUUAAUACCUUGCUGUUUUGACGUUACCAACAGAAUAAGCACCGGCUAACUUCGUGCCAGCAGCCGCGGUAAUACGAAGGGUGCAAGCGUUAAUCGGAAUUACUGGGCGUAAAAGCGCGCGUAGGUGGUUUCGUUUAAGUUGGAUGUGAAAAGCCCCGGGGCUCAAACCUGGGAAACUGCAUCCAAAUACUGGCGAGCUAGAGUAUGGCAGAGGGUGGGUGGAAAUUUCCUGUGUAGCGGUGAAA
rnacentral:rRNA from 1 species